AGUGUUUGGUACAGAUGGUGUAGGCCUGUAGGAAACACAAAGUUGGAUUUUUUCGGCCUGUAUAGUUCUUGGUCAAUCCACAAUUAUUAUAUUAAAUAAUUGAGCACGUUUUAAGCUUUUCCCAGGCUACGUAUAGUAAAUCAAUUAAAUCUAGUAUUUGCAUCACAUUCACUUUCAACAAAGUGAACAUAGUCAACUGAGCUGGGUUGACCAUUUCCCACACCAUUCAACAGACCGGUUUUCCACCAAGCAGCGUGCAACUAAACCAAAAACUCUUUCAUCUCCCUACUCUUAACUUUUGUUGAGAUUGGGAUUAUACUUCUUUGAAAUGUGUAUCAUUUUUUAUAUCUUUUUUGGAAAAUAUUAUAUUUGUGUGACUUGGUCAACGAAAUUUGUAAAAAUCUGUUUCCUAUCACUUUUUGUUACUCAUAUUAUUGUAUGUGUUUAUAAGCUACAUAUAUAUGCAUAUAUAUAUUUAUAUUUAUAUAUUCGUGAACGUCAUGGGCGAGUGUGCAUUUAUGUACAUGCACACAUGUUUGAAUACUUGUCUAUACAUUCACAUGCAUGCAUUUAGGUCCUGGUGUGUGUGUCUGAGAGGUUUACAGUUAACCACUGUGCAAAAAACCGGUUUGUUAGCGCAAUCUUUUGUUUUGACCAGCGGAUUCACAGAUAUGUUUCCAUUUCGAGUCGUAUUUAAUGAUUUUGUGGCAAGCUUGAAACUUGUGGUGGCGCUGCUGCCACUAUUAAGUUGACUGGCACUUGUACGAGGUAAUCGCGGAUUAAUAUUUCCAUUUCCUGUAAACGGGCGCGCAGCACUACCAGCACUAUUGCUGACGGCAAGUGCUCCCGGUAACAUAUCAAGGUGCAUGAUGAUUCCCAUGCACAGUAGCAUUAAUGUUAGCGCCGACCGGCUAAUGAAUUUACACCGUCUUGUAUAAACCAGAAAGGCUACCAUGACUGCGAACCGUAUCAUCUCUAGACUUUCAUAUAUGUAUAUUGCACACGAUAGAGCCGUUAUUACCUGUAAUAGUUUAUAUCUUUGUAAAUGAAUGUUUGGAUUGUAUAACGACCAA